UACGGAGGGUGCAAGCGUUAUCCGGAUUCACUGGGUUUAAAGGGUGCGUAGGUGGGUUGGUAAGUCAGUGGUGAAAUCCCCGAGCUUAACUCGGGAACUGCCAUUGAUACUACCAGUCUUGAAUAUUGUGGAGGUUAGCGGAAUAUGUCAUGUAGCGGUGAAAUGCUUAGAUAUGACAUAGAACACCAAUUGCGAAGGCAGCUGGCUACACAUAUAUUGACACUGAGGCACGAAAGCGUGGGGAUCAAACAGG
rnacentral:rRNA from 1 species